AGAAUCAACGCUGGCGGCGUGCCUCAGACAUGCAAGUCGAACGAUUAAAGCUCUCUUCGGAGAGUGUAUAGAGUGGCGCACGGGUGAGUAACACGUAAGUAAUCUACCUUCGAGUGGGGAAUAACCCGGGGAAACCCGAGCUAAUACCGCAUAAUGCAGCGGCAUCGCAAGAUGACAGUUGUUAAAGGAUUUAUUUCGCUUGAAGAGGAGCUUGCGGCAGAUUAGCUUGUUGGUAAGGUAACGGCUUAACCAAGGCUACGAU
rnacentral:rRNA from 1 species